rnacentral:rRNA from 1 species
UACGUAGGGUGCGAGCGUUGUCCGGAAUUAUUGGGCGUAAAGAGCUCGUAGGCGGUGUGUCGCGUCGGCCGUGAAAACCUGGGGCUCAACUCUGGGCGUGCGGUCGAUACGGGCAUCACUGGAGUUCGGCAGGGGAGACUGGAAUUCCUGGUGUAGCGGUGAAAUGCGCAGAUAUCAGGAGGAACACCGGUGGCGAAGGCGGGUCUCUGGGCCGAUGACUGACGCUGAGGAGCGAAAGCAUGGGUAGCGAACAGG